CCCCCCCAUCGCCCCCCAUAGGUGCGCAUCCCUCACAGCCGCCCCUCAUUGGGUCCCUCCGGGCGCAGCCCCCUGAUGCGCAGCCUGGCCAGGCGCUGCAGAUCGAAGGGCAAACAGCGCGGCCUCCGCGCAACGGGCAGCUCGGCGAAGAACGCCCGUUCCCGGGGGGGUCCCCCCCCCCCCUCGUUGUCCCCCAGCCCCACAUCCUGCAGGACCCCCAGGAUCUCCUGCCGCGCAGCCGGGCUGCGCAACCCGCGCAAGUCCAGCAGCGCCGCCACGUGCUUCCUCCUGUGGGGGGAGAGAAAUGGGGGUUAAGGGGGAGCAGCGCUGCGCCCCAUUUUCAGACCCACAACUGCGCCCCAUUUUCAUUGCACUGCGCCCCAUUUUGAGCCCCAUUUUGAGCCCCAUUGCACUGCGCCCCAUUUCCAGACCCACAACUGCGCCCCAUUUUCAGACCCAUAGCUGCAGUUGUUUGGGGAUCGUGGCACUGAGCCCCAUUUUCAGUUCUAUUGCACUGCGCCCCAUUUCCAGACCCACAACUGCGCCCCAUUUCCAGCCCCAUUGCACUGCGCCCCAUUUUCAGUUCUAUUGCACUGCACCCCAUUUUCAGACCCACAACUGCGCCCAAUUUUCAGACCCACAACUGCGCCCCAUUUUGAGUUCUAUUGCACUGCGCCUCAUUUUCAGACCCACAACUGCGCCCCAUUUUCAGACCCAAAGUUGUGCCCCAUUUUCAUUGCGCUGCGCCCCAUUUUCAGACCCACAACUGCGCCCCAUUUUGAGUCUCAUUGCACUGCGCCCCAUUUUCAGACCCACAACUGCGCCCCAUUUUGAGUCUCAUUGCACUGCGCCCCAUUUUCAGACCCACAGCUGCGCCCCAUUUUCAUUGCACUGCGCCCCAUUUUCAGACCCACAACUGCGCCCCAUUUUCAGACCCAUAGCUGCAGUUGUUUUGGGAUCGUGGCACUGCACCCCAUUUUCAGAACCAGAAUUGCGCCCCAUUUUGAGUCUCAUUGCACUGCGCCCCAUUUUCAGACCCAGAAUUGCACCCCAUUUUCAGCCCCAUUGCACUGCACCCCAUUUUCAGCCCCACAACUGCGCCCCAUUUUCAGCCCCAUUUUGAGCCCUAUUGCACUGCGCCCCAUUUUCAGCCCCAUAACAGCGCCCCAUUCUCACUGCGCUGCGCCCCAUUUUCAGCCCCAUUUUGAGCCCCAUUGUACUGCGUCCCAUUUUCAGCCCCAUAACUGCGUCCUAUUUUCAGACCUAUUUUGAGCCCCAUUGCACUACACCCCAUUUUCAGACCCAUAACUGCGCCCUAUUUUCACACCCAUAACUGCGCCCCAUUCUCACUGCGCUGCGCCCUAUUUUCAGCCCUAUUCCACCCGCGCAUCCCGUCUCGUUUCUCCGCCAUCCCGGCGCCAGCUCCGUCAUUGUCCCCAUCCCCCCCCCGCCCCAUAAGUGUGACCCGGUGACACCGGUGGGUCCCGGGGGGGUGCGGACCGGCAGUGGGUGGGGGGGGGUUGGGG
rnacentral:lncRNA from 1 species